rnacentral:rRNA from 1 species
AUUGAACGCUGGCGGCAUGCCUUACACAUGCAAGUCGAACGGCAGCACGGGAGCAAUCCUGGUGGCGAGUGGCGAACGGGUGAGUAAUAUAUCGGAACGUGCCCAGUCGUGGGGGAUAACGUAGCGAAAGCUACGCUAAUACCGCAUACGAUCUAUGGAUGAAAGCGGGGGAUCGCAAGACCUCGCGCGAUUGGAGCGGCCGAUAUCAGAUUAGGUAGUUGGUGAGGUAAAGGCUCACCAAGCCGACGAUCUGUAGCUGGUCUGAGAGGACGACCAGCCACACUGGGACUGAGACACGGCCCAGACUCCUACGGGAGGCAGCAGUGGGAAUUUUGGACAAUGGGCGCAAGCCUGAUCCAGCAAUGCCGCGUGCAGGAUGAAGGCCUUCGGGUUGUAAACUGCUUUGUACGGAACGAAACGGUGAGCUCUAAUACAGUUUGCUAAUGACGGUACCGUAAGAAUAAGCACCGGCUAACUACGUG